GGUAGCAAGCCGCAGCUGACAGGAGUAGGGGGUCCUGAAAGGAAAGCAGAACCAAGUAGUUCCCACAGGACCAACUCGCUGCUGCUAAUGACUCGUUUGCUGAAACUCUACACUAACAAGGCCAUGCAACUUUCAUAAUCUGUAUGAAGUAGAGCUGACCUUGGAACCGAGCUGCACCUCUAAUUUCCCCACCAGGGACUUGGUCAUCCCAUCAAAUCUUAAAAUUGACUCUUCAGCCUUAGAAUAUUCACAAACUCCUCUGAAUGCAGUUUCUUUUCAUCACCUCAGAUUAAAGGUAUGUAUUCAUUUUUAUAUGAAAUGCAGAAUUAAUCAGUUGUGUCAUACUUGGCUAUCCCCAAAUUAGUUGGAAAUGGCUAAAUGGCAUCAUAUCAAGCAUGUAAAAAAUAUCCCGAGUUUCUUAUCUUACUGUAUGUCCCAUCACUGCUAGAUAAAACUAAAUCAUGUCUUAAAACUCCAUCUGCUAUAUAACAAUUUCCAGAGAGUUUUGGCUCUUAUGGAGUUCCAGAUAAUCUUAUUUACUCUAUAUCUCUUGUUCUACACGUUUUUCUGUGUCCAGCUCUGUCUACCUCUGCCUAACAAACUAU